GAGGAGGCUGAUCAAGACCUCCCAUCACUGUUGGGAAUUGAUACUUGAGAUGCAUACCUGGGGCUCUCUCACUGCACCAUCCUUGUGGAUCCCCUGCUUCUCCUUUUAAAAGAAUGAAGUGUCUACAGGGCUUGAAGAUUUUUACAUUGCAUAGUGCCUCUGCAUGCAACCACAACAGAGGCACACCACCAAGUGAUUAAGCCCUCACAACUCCAGAGCUCAUCUCUCCUCAACAGCACCAAGGUGAACAGAUGAUACCUCAAGUGUAGGAGAAGCUGGAUAUCUUCUGAGAUUCUUCCUUUCCAUUGAAGAAGCGAGACAAAGACGGGAGCUGACUGUAGCAGGAGGUCGGCUGCAGAAGCAGGAAGCUAACGACAGGGGAUUUUCUUCUUGCACCCUUGUUCACCCUCCUUUACCAUGCCCCCAUCCUCCAGCUAAGAACUCACCACAGCCGUCCUUACACAGGACACAGAGAAAUAAAGCUGGAGCUGAAAUGGAAGCUUCCUCCCUGCUGGAUAGCAUUCAUGGUACUGAAAGGUAUGAAAAAAAGAGGACAUUAUGAGGAGAAGAGUGCUGAAUGGGAGAAAUGGUGAACAAGAAGUUGAAAGCACCUAAUGACAAUACCUUCAAGAAGAGGUGCUGAGUGGACAUCUGUGUGCAGCAGUAGAGAAUGAUGAAGCGAACGCUGUGUGGACGUCGGUAGUAGGUACUUUAUCAUUUGAAGGUUGCAUAGGAGAGUAGCCAGAGACACG